UUAUUAUUAUAUAUAACCCUUCUAUCUCGUAUUAAAUUAAAAAUUGAUUCAGUUUCCUGGUGUGUCCACACAUACGACACGUUUCUUUUAAAACUCUUCUUCUUCGCUUGUGAUAACGUCCGUCAAAAUCCGCUUUUGUUUUGUUUUUUUUAUCCAUGUGACUCUAGUUGCGGAAAAAGGUCUUUCCACUGAUGUUUUGCGUGAUAUACGAAUUGCGCUACACCAGAAAAACCACCUCUUGCCAGCGCAAAAUCUUUUAAUUGUACAACAAGAGUUU